rnacentral:rRNA from 1 species
GACGAACGCUGGCGGCGUGCUUAACACAUGCAAGUCGAACGGAAAGGCCCUUCGGGGUACUCGAGUGGCGAACGGGUGAGUAACACGUGGGUGAUCUGCCCUGCACUUUGGGAUAAGCCUGGGAAACUGGGUCUAAUACCGAAUAGGACCACGCGCUUCAUGGUGUGUGGUGGAAAGCUUUUGCGGUGUGGGAUGGGCCCGCGGCCUAUCAGCUUGUUGGUGGGGUAAUGGCCUACCAAGGCGACGACGGGUAGCCGGCCUGAGAGGGUGACCGGCCACACUGGGACUGAGAUACGGCCCAGACUCCUACGGGAGGCAGCAGUGGGGAAUAUUGCACAAUGGGCGCACGCCUGAUGCAGCGACGCCGCGUGAGGGAUGACGGCCUUCGGGUUGUAAACCUCUUUCAAUAGGGACGAAGCGCAAGUGACGGUACCUAUAGAAGAAGCACCGGCCAACUACGUG